CCACACAAUAAACGCAAAAUAAGCCCAAAUCCCCAACACCCAAAUUAGCCCAAGAGGAGAAAAGAAAUGAAAGAAGAUUGGGCCAUACGACCAACAUUGGCCCAAAGAGAAAAAAAAGGAAAAAAAAGAGGGUAAAGAAGGUCGAACCGGCCAAAAAGAAAAAUAAGGAAACAAAACACCCAAACCACCAAACACCCACCAUUAUUCUUCCUCAUCUUUCUUCUUCUCUUCUAAACAAUAAAUCCUAACCCCUUCAAUAUCAUCACACAGCCACCAUCGCUGUACAUCGCCCCUAUCGCCACUUCCAUUGCAACAUUGUUCAGUUGACAACCCCUCUCUUACACCACCACAACCACUGACCCCAAACGUUAAACCACCAUGAAACCAGUGAUUAAAACUCCCG
rnacentral:lncRNA from 1 species